rnacentral:rRNA from 1 species
AUGAUGGCGGAGAUGGUGGACAUGGGCUCCACCGUCAGGUCGUCCAUCACCAGGUAGCUCACCACCUCCUUCACGUACCCUCCUGCUCCCGCAGACGCCGCCGCCGCCGCGGCCUCCUGGGCCGCCGCCUGCGCCAGCUUGCCGUGCGCGUCGCCGGGGCUCCACCGCAUCUCCACCGUCAUCGGCUGCCGGCACACCGGGCACGGCAGGCCGGCCACGUCCGUCACGCACGUCGGGUUCCCGCGGCACGACGUCCCGUACGGGCCCGCGCACCGGAAGUACCGCUUCGGCGGGGCGGGAGCCGGUGCGGCCGCUGCGGCCGGCUCGCCCGCGAGCAGCAGCGCGAGCGCGGCGGAGGGGAUCGCGGGGCAGAGGAUCGCGUCGCGGUCGGGCGCGGCUGCGACGAAGAACUCGUCGCCCAGUGCCUUGGCCCCGGCGUAG